UCCCUGGUAGCUUAGCUAGUAAAGAAUCCCCCUGCAAUGCAGGAGACCCAGGUUCGAUUCCUGGGUCAGGGAG
rfam:Ovis aries breed Texel chromosome 1, whole genome shotgun sequence.